rnacentral:misc_RNA from 1 species
UCGUAAAGGGUGAUGAGUGGUGUUUGGUUUGUCUACRGUGUGGUUGGCUGCGGCGUUUGCAACAACUUCCAUGCUUUCAGACCUCUUCAGUUGUGCGGCAAGGCUUGUAUCGCCUUGAGCGUAUUGUGGGUUUUCUGUGUUGAAUACCUAAUCAAUGGUAUCGGUUGGAUUGAUCAAUGUUUCAUUUCGUCUGUCGCCGCAUUCGCGGCGUGAGAUGAACCUUGACGCGGUCUCUUUGCUCCACCUCGUUGAAGCACAUGCUUUGACGUUGUGGCACAUUGAGCAUUGCUUGGUCUCUUGUAUACGGAACAUAUAGUGGGCAUGGAUCUAACGAUUCUUGUUUGCCCUCAUGUUAGCGUAACGCUUCUCUUACACGACUUGCCCCACGUUUUAGCUCGUACGGACGUGGUGCUAUGUCGAAGAGGAAUGCUACCUGGUUGAUCCUGCCAGUAGUCAWUAUGCUUGUCUCAAAGAUUAAGCCAUGCUGGUKGUAAGU